rnacentral:rRNA from 1 species
AUCCUGGCUCAGGAUGAACGCUGGCGGCGUGCUUAACACAUGCAAGUCGAACGAAGAUAUUUAGAAUGAGAGCUUCGGCAGGAUUUUUAUCUAUCUUAGUGGCGGACGGGUGAGUAACGUGUGGGCAACCUGCCCUGUACUGGGGAAUAAUCAUUGGAAACGAUGACUAAUACCGCAUGUGGUCCUCGGAAGGCAUCUUCUGAGGAAGAAAGGAUUUAUUCGGUACAGGAUGGGCCCGCAUCUGAUUAGCUAGUUGGUGAGAUAACAGCCCACCAAGGCGACGAUCAGUAGCCGACCUGAGAGGGUGAUCGGCCACAUUGGGACUGAGACACGGCCCAAACUCCUACGGGAGGCAGCAGUGGGGAAUAUUGCACAAUGGGCGAAAGCCUGAUGCAGCAACGCCGCGUGAAGGAUGAAGGGUUUCGGCUCGUAAACUUCUAUCAAUAGGGAAGAAAGAAAUGACGGUACCUAAAUAAGAAGCCCCGGCUAACUACGUGCC